UGGGGAAUAUUGGACAAUGGGCGAAAGCCUGAUCCAGCAAUGCCGCGUGUGCGAAGAAGGUCUUCGGAUUGUAAAGCACUUUCGACGGGGACGGAUGAUGACGGUACCCGUACGAAGAAGCCCCGGCCUAACUUCGUGCCAG
rnacentral:rRNA from 1 species